rnacentral:rRNA from 1 species
GACGAACGCUGGCGGCGUGCCUAAUACAUGCAAGUCGUGCGGACCUUGUUGAAAGCUUGCUUUUAAAAGGUUAGCGGCGGACGGGUGAGUAACACGUGGGCAACCUGCCUGUAAGACUGGGAUAACGCCGGGAAACCGGGGCUAAUACCAGAUCGUUUUUUCCUCCGCAUGGAGGAAAAAGGAAAGGCGGCUUCGGCUGCCACUUACAGAUGGGCCCGCGGCGCAUUAGCUAGUUGGCGGGGUAAUGGCCCACCAAGGCAACGAUGCGUAGCCGACCUGAGAGGGUGAUCGGCCACAUUGGGACUGAGACACGGCCCAAACUCCUACGGGAGGCAGCAGUAGGGAAUCUGCCGCAAUGGACGAAAGUCUGACGGAGCAACGCCGCGUGAGUGAAGAAGGCCUUCGGGUCGUAAAACUCUGUUGCCGGGGAAGAACAAGUGCCGUUCGAACAGGGCGGCGCCUUGACGGUACCCGGCCAGAAAGCCACGGCUAACUACGU